rnacentral:lncRNA from 1 species
AUAAUCUCCACCCCCUGCCGAGGCUUCAACAUUAUAUCUAUCCCUCCUUGCUCUAGCGGGCAGCAAGAAGCACAGCACCGCCAGUUACCACGCAGACAUCCUGGGGAACUGAGGACAUUUCUUGAAGAGAUGUGAACAAAGGCCUGCUCGUCCAGAUAGUGUCCCGAGGACAAACCAAAGAAGUCAUCCCACCUAAGUCCAGCUUGGAGCCAGUGACUUUAUAGAAGGGUGACCUACAGGACCAUGGGUGACUCGGGACAGCUGUAUCAUCAAGCCACUCCACCAUGAAAGCUGCAUCCCUGGAUCUCACUGUGCAGCAUGCAGGUAACCCCUCUGGGCCUGCAACAAGGAGAUUCCCUGAUGGACCUUCGAGCCAGUCCUCUCCAGCUCUUCCCUUGAAGAGAAAUGAUCAGAGAGGAUCUUAGGAAACAAAAGUGCCACCAUGCCUGGUUUUAUGCACUGCUGGUGAUAGGAAAUAGGGCAGGUUGCCAGGUGACUGCUCUACCAAUGGAACUGUUUCUCCGGCUCUCAGGCCACCACCUACCAGAGGUAGUGGAAAAGAAAGGACAUGGGGGAAGUGGACCUGUUUAGAAGUGGUUCUUUGAAGCAGCUCUCAUCUGUGUUAUCAGGAAAUCGGCAGUUUGGUUUACAGGUCAGCAACAGCAGCUUGAUCCACUUGCAAACACUUCACAGAUACACCAGCAGUCCAGUUCGGGAGAGUCCGAAGAGCAAACAUGAAUCAGCAGUAGUGCCAUCACCUAACAGGGACAUCCAGGCCUCAGCCAGAUCAGCACAAGUCAGCAGGAGGGACCAGAACCAACAGGGACACCAGGAGUUCUUUGCUGUGCCUCUCUCAGUGAAGCAAAGAUCAUCAAAGAUGAGAGACCAAGAAGUAUUGCAGAGCUAGCUCUACAAGCAAGCCCCUCUCAGUCCUAUUUACACUCCCUCCAAAAAUCACGUGCUCUCCACAGCUCUUGCCUCAGCAUGUGAGUCUGUCUUAGCAAAACUCCACGAGUCUAUAUCAGCUGACAUCACUCUGCCAGUUGACCCAAGUCCUCAGAAGCUGCAAGAAGCCGCAGCAUACUACCAGAAGGUUUUUUUGGUGUAUUUCGAUUUCUGGAGUCCUGACAAAUGGCGCUCAACUACACAAUUUAAGGCAGACCAAUACUUGUGUGUUGUUAAUGAAGAAUCCGUCACCAUGUGUCCUUUCACGUGCUUGCUUUAGCAGAAAAUCCUUUCACGCGUGUCUGCUUCAGUGAAACAUUCCUUCACAAGUCUGCCUUAGCAAAACAUCCUUUCACCUGUGUCCACUUCAGGGAAAAACUCCUUCAUGUGUUUGUCCCAGCAAAACACCAUCCAACACAACUGACUUUCCAAAGAACCCUUCAACCUAAAAAAAAAAGAAGAAGACUCGGAAACCACCUUAGAAAUGCAUCUCACAAAAUACCUGCCAGGCCAUUAGAAAACUACAGAAAGAUUUUAAACACAUGUCUGAAAAUACCCUAAAUAUCCUAAAGACACACUUCUUUCCCCAGAAGUAAUCUAUAUAUGUAAUAUGAUUCCAAAUAAAAUUUCAACAGGGUCUUAAAAAAAUAGACAAUAAACUGUUUAGAACCAUGGGCUGUAUCUUUUCAUCAAGAUCUGCAGUGAGGAGCCAUGAAGGAGGCCUUCACCUACAGAGUCUUAGCCUAAUCUCCCGUAGAAGGCCCCUCUACGCCACAACAGCCACCAAGCCUGCCUCCACCUAGAUAAAGACAAUCACCACAUGAGACAAGCCUUGUGCCCCAGCCCCAGGCUAGAUGGUAUACCAGCCCACGGAUCCCACACUCUGUUCUCUGCUCUUUGGUGACUCCCAGUGGUGCCUGGAUAUCCAAGAGUCUGAGAAGAACCCCACAGCCCCAGCCUUGUCACAGGCCCAGGGACCCCAAGCCAGCUCCAAUUUCCCAUGUCUCAGACUGCACCUUCCCACCCCCAGAUCUGUGUCUUGCCACUUUCCUACAGCUCAGCACCCACCUCAGCAGUGGCGGCAUGGGGUAAGCACAGUCAAACUCCCAGCAUUCCACCCAGUGUCAGAGUAGACACAGGCAAACAACCCUACAAGACAUCUCAGAAGUUCUGCUCUCAGACAUGGUGUCUGGGGAUGCUUGCCAUAGAAUACAAGCUAAGGACUUUCCCAAGGAGGACCUUCCCAAGUCUGCCCACCUCAUAGUCUUUUUGGUCUCACGAGCUGUGAUGACCUACUUUGUCUGGGAAAUUAACAGAUCAGGACCCAAGUGGACAAGAAAGUUGUGGAGGCUGAGGGCACCAUGGAAGCACCUCUGUGGUAGUUGCAGGCAUGUGUGCUGUGCAGCACUCUUCAACCUAAGAGCACCAAAACUUUCUCUGCCGAGUGUAUCAGCAACAAAUGCAAAGGCCACUUCCAUAAGAUCUGGUCACCCACAGUAUCACUCAUACUAAGGUGCCAGGGAUUGAACUUGGAUCACCAGGCUUGGAGGCAAGCACCUUUGACAUACUAAGCCACUGCCGUCCAUAAGAACAUUACACAAAGACCUGGAAUCUUCAAAGCCAAGCUGUGUAUGAUACACAGAAGUGGGAAAGAGGCAAAUCAUUUAUUUGUUACUAGGUACUUUUUCUUGUGGGAAGAAAGUUUUUUGUUAAUUCACUCAACAUUUAUUGAGAGAUGCAAGCCAUCAAAGAAAUGGCCCCUCCAGAAACUAGACACUACAGACCAAGGGUGAACGCCUAGCCUGGAUCACCGCAGCUCAGGAAGAGGCUGCAGAAACAGAAAGUGCCCUAGAUCCUUGAAGACUUUACAAUUGUUUAAAAUCACUUAAACUCUCUGGUAAAAGAUAUAGAUACUGACUAAUUAUUACAUAAUUUAUUUUUAUUCAUAACUCUGUAUACUGUUAAUUCUUAAAGUAAUUUCAUUCUUCCUAAUCCAUUAUUAAAAUAUUUUUUUCAUGCCCAUUAGGGAAAGGCCUGCCUCCUGGAGAAGUUUCAGGAGCAAAAUCAGAGAGAGAGACGGGAAACGCCACUAAGGACAAACUGCAAGGUAGAAAAGGAAGGACACACCGUGGGGAGGGAUUCAUGAGAAGAGCCAGUAGGAUCCAAUGAGAGCCAACUGCUCCAGGUUCCUGACUUGAGGUCCUGUCCAGGCCUCUCUCCAUGAUGGACCAUGAUGGGGAUUCGUAAGCAGAAAUAAACCCUCCCCACUGCUGCUUUUGGUCAGUAUUUGUAUCACAGCGAGAGAAAGCAAACUCGGACAGGUAUUCAUCAGCUGUACAAAGAGAAAAGGCAUAAACUGCUGGAAGCUGUGUCCUUGGGUCAUGGGCACUACUUCCCACAACACCCACUGGCUUUGCAUGGAGACUCUGGACCUUCAGAGCGACACCCAGUUUUGCCACAUGGAUACAGGACUUGUGAUAAACUAGGUAGUAGGCCUGGAUCUGUUGCUUUCCCCCUUGCUGUGAUGAGGAAAUCCCUGAGAAAGAUAACUUAAGGAAGGAGGGGUUUGCUCUAGCAGCUGGAGUGAGGGGUGGCAGGCCACAUGACGUGGCAUCCACUAUCAGGAUGCAGAGAGAGAUGAAUGUGUAUAUUCACCUUCCCUUUCCACGAGGUCUAAAACCCUAGGGUGAGUCUUCCUGCCUCGGUUUACCGAGUUUAGAAACUCCUAUGUCUCCAUGGUGAUUCUAGACCCCGUCAAGCUGACAGUAUUAACCACCUCAGGGGUUAACUGCUAGAGAUCCUGAGAGCACACAUUUGAUCUGCUUUGUAAAUACACGAUUUGGUUGCCUGAAAUAAUUUAGUCAGAGGUCAACCCUGGAUACCAUUAAAGUUGUUCUCCUUUUU